AUGCCUAAUACAUGCAAGUCGAGCGGAGUUGAUAGGAAGCUUGCUUCCUUGAUACUUAGCGGCGGACGGGUGAGUAACACGUAGGCAACCUGCCCUCAAGUUUGGGACAACUACCGGAAACGGUAGCUAAUACCGAAUAAUUGUUUUCUUCGCCUGAAGGAAACUGGAAAGACGGAGCAAUCUGUCACUUGGGGAUGGGCCUGCGGCGCAUUAGCUAGUUGGUGAGGUAACGGCUCACCAAGGCGACGAUGCGUAGCCGACCUGAGAGGGUGAUCGGCCACACUGGGACUGAGACACGGCCCAGACUCCUACGGGAGGCAGCAGUAGGGAAUCUUCCGCAAUGGGCGAAAGCCUGACGGAGCAAUGCCGCGUGAGUGAUGAAGGUUUUCGGAUCGUAAAGCUCUGUUGCCAGGGAAGAACGCUUGGGAGAGUAACU
rnacentral:rRNA from 1 species